GAAUGGCACCACGAAGGUUAUACUGUCUCCUUUUUCUAAUCAGUGAAACUAAUCUUCCCGUGAAGAAGCGGGAAUAAAAAUAUAAGACGAGAAGACCCUAUGGAGCUUUAAACAAAUAUACAAUUGCCUCUUCCAAUAAAAAUUUCAGAAAAGACACUUCUAUUUGGGCACUUUGAUAUAAAGUUUUAGGUUGGGGUGACCACGGAGUAAAAAACAACCUCCGCAGUGAAAGGGGCUUUCCCCCUAAACCAAGGGCUACGACCCUAAGAAUCAAUAAAUUGACACCAAUUGACCCAAUUAAUUGAUCAAUGAACCAAGUUACCCUAGGGAUAACAGCGCAAUCCACUUCAAGAGCCCCUAUCGACAAGUGG
rnacentral:rRNA from 1 species